rnacentral:sRNA from 1 species
GAUGGUCUCCUGAUCCUGGCUGAUAAGCUCCAGGGCCCCUUUUCCUUUGAGCUGGCGGCUGAGUCCAUUGGGGUGAAGAUCUCGGAGGGUUUGAUGUACCUGCAGGAAAACAGUGCGAAGGUGUCCGCCCAGGUGUUUCAGGAGUGCGGCCCCCCCCCCCGGUGCCUGCCCGCAACCGUCGAGCCCCGCCGCCCCGGGAAGAGGCGGGCCGGCUGUGGUCGAUGGUGACCGAGGAGGAGCGGCCCCCGACGGCCGCGGGCACCAACCUGCACCGGCUGGUGUGGGAGCUCCGCGAGCGUCUGGCCCGGAUGCGGGGCUUCUGGGCCCGGCUGUCCCUGACGGUGUGCGGAGACUCUCGCAUGGCAGCGGACGCCUCGCUGGAGGCGGCGCCCUGCUGGACCGGAGCCGGGCGGGGCCGGUACUUGCCGCCAGUGGUCGGGGGCUCCCUGGCCGAGCAGGUCAACAACCCCGAGCUCAAGGUGGACGCCUCGGGCCCCGAUGUCCCGACACGGCGGCGUCGGCUACAGCUCCGGGCGGCCACGGCCAGAAUGAAAGCGGCCGCACUGGGACACGACCUGGACGGGCAGGACAUGGGUGAGACCCCGGCAUCCCUGAGCCUGAGCCCCGCCCACUGCCCUUAAGCCUCUCCCCUCUCCUGGUAGUUCCCGCCCGCGCCUCUGCUCUUAGCGUUCAUUCAUUCAUUCACUAAUUCAUUCAACGAGCAUUUAUUGAGCGUUGACCUCAAAGACUGGGGGUAACAGAUCAAUGAGGGGGUCUGUAUCCUUU